GGAAAGCCAGCAUAUUGUCUGCCCGGUUGUUCAAGAGGACUGCAGAAACAAGGACCACAAAGAAAAGUAAAGUAUUCAAAGCUGGUCUCUUGCUGGUCAAUAGCUUUCAAUGACAUCACACCUGAGAUGCUGAGGUCCUGCAGAGCCUUUGUCGGGAGAGCUUCACGCAGGAGGCACCCUCGAUGGUAGAAGCCGAUCCAGUUCUUCGGGUCCAAGCGGAUGCUCAACGUAAAGUCUUUGAUUGCCUCCUUGUAGCAAUUCACACUGGCAUACGCUAUUCCUCGAUGUGUACUGGAAAUAAUAAAAUAGAAUUUAAAGCCCUUCGUUAAGCCAUUGCUGGUUGAAGGCCUCCCCAUGUCGUGUAG